GACGAACGCUGGCGGCGUGCUUAACACAUGCAAGUCGAACGGAAAGGCCCUGCUUUUGUGGGGUGCUCGAGUGGCGAACGGGUGAGUAACACGUGAGUAACCUGCCCUUGACUUUGGGAUAACUUCAGGAAACUGGGGCUAAUACCGGAUAGGAGCUCCUGCUGCAUGGUGGGGGUUGGAAAGUUUCGGCGGUUGGGGAUGGACUCGCGGCUUAUCAGCUUGUUGGUGGGGUAGUGGCUUACCAAGGCUUUGACGGGUAGCCGGCCUGAGAGGGUGACCGGCCACAUUGGGACUGAGAUACGGCCCAGACUCCUACGGGAGGCAGCAGUGGGGAAUAUUGCACAAUGGGCGGAAGCCUGAUGCAGCAACGCCGCGUGCGGGAUGACGGCUUUCGGGUUGUAACCCGCUUUCGCCUGUGACGAAGCGUGAGUGACGGUAAUGGGUAAAGAAGCACCGGCUAACUACGUG
rnacentral:rRNA from 1 species